rnacentral:misc_RNA from 1 species
UACGGAGGGUCCAAGCGUUAUCCGGAUUUAUUGGGUUUAAAGGGUCCGUAGGCGGGUCGAUAAGUCAGUGGUGAAAGUCUGCAGCUCAACUGUAGAACUGCCAUUGAAACUGUUGUCCUUGAGUCAUUAUGAAGUGGUUAGAAUAUGUAGUGUAGCGGUGAAAUGCAUAGAUAUUACAUAGAAUACCGAUUGCGAAGGCAGAUCACUAAUAAUUCACUGACGCUGAGGGACGAAAGCGUAGGUAGCGAACAGG